rnacentral:rRNA from 1 species
GACAGAGGUCCCGAGCGUUAGGCGGAAUCACUGGGCUUAGAGCGUGUGUAGGCGGAGUGCUAAGUACCUUGUGAAAUCCCACGGCUCAACCGUGGAACUGCUUGGUAUACUGGUUCUCUUGAGCCACCUAGGGGCAACCGGAACAAACGGUGGAGCGGUGAAAUGCGUAGAUAUCGUUUGGAACGCCAAUGGUGAAAACAGGUUGCUGGGGGUGUGCUGACGCUGAGACACGAAAGCCAGGGGAGCAAACGGG